rnacentral:rRNA from 1 species
AUUGAACGCUGGCGGCAGGCCUAACACAUGCAAGUCGAGCGGAUGAAGGGAGCUUGCUCCUGGAUUCAGCGGCGGACGGGUGAGUAAUGCCUAGGAAUCUGCCUGGUAGUGGGGGAUAACGUCCGGAAACGGGCGCUAAUACCGCAUACGUCCUGAGCGAGAAAGUGGGGGAUCUUCGGACCUCACGCUAUCAGAUGAGCCUAGGUCGGAUUAGCUAGUUGGUGGGGUAAAGGCCUACCAAGGCGACGAUCCGUAACUGGUCUGAGAGGAUGAUCAGUCACACUGGAACUGAGACACGGUCCAGACUCCUACGGGAGGCAGCAGUGGGGAAUAUUGGACAAUGGGCGAAAGCCUGAUCCAGCCAUGCCGCGUGUGUGAAGAAGGUCUUCGGAUUGUAAAGCACUUUAAGUUGGGAGGAAGGGCUGUAAGUUAAUACCUUGCUGUUUUGACGUUACCAACAGAAUAAGCACCGGCUAACUUCGUG